AUGGGCGUCGUGUCCGUCUACGCGCCGCCGGCCCUCAACCGCCACCUCACCUUCCCCGUCUUCUCCUACGGCGUGACGGUCAUCAUCGUCACGGACGCCACCGUCGGCACCGCCCUGUGCGCACUCCACGCCACCGUCAUGGGCGCCACCCCCUCCGUCCUAGCGUUGUGGCUGGCGCACCGCACGGGCGCCACCGAGUCGGUGCUGGUCACGUCGGUCGUGGUGGCGCUGAGCACGUUCGCGGUGGCGCUGCCGGAGUCGCCGGGCACCGUGGCGAAGCGGAUCGCGCUGGGCCAGAUCAUCAUCAUCUACGUGGCCAAGUUCAGGCGAGGGGACCGCAUGAGCCACGAGCUGGUGCUGGGGCAAGAUCACGCGUGCAAAUAUACGGAAACAAUAGCGCAUACGUAUAAAUGUGUAUGUACGCGGGCAAAUUGCAGACGCCACCGGACAUCCGCAUAA
rnacentral:rRNA from 1 species